rnacentral:sRNA from 1 species
CUUGGUCAUUUAGAGGAAGUAAAAGUCGUAACAAGGUCUCCGUAGGUGAACCUGCGGAGGGAUCAUUACAAGAACGCCCGGGCUUCGGCCUGGUUAUUCAUAACCCUUUGUUGUCCGACUCUGUUGCCUCCGGGGCGACCCUGCCUUCGGGCGGGGGCUCCGGGUGGACACUUCAAACUCUUGCGUAACUUUGCAGUCUGAGUAAACUUAAUUAAUAAAUUAAAACUUUUAACAACGGAUCUCUUGGUUCUGGCAUCGAUGAAGAACGCAGCGAAAUGCGAUAAGUAAUGUGAAUUGCAGAAUUCAGUGAAUCAUCGAAUCUUUGAACGCACAUUGCGCCCCCUGGUAUUCCGGGGGGCAUGCCUGUUCGAGCGUCAUUUCACCACUCAAGCCUCGCUUGGUAUUGGGCAACGCGGUCCGCCGCGUGCCUCAAAUCGUCCGGCUGGGUCUUCUGUCCCCUAAGCGUUGUGGAAACUAUUCGCUAAAGGGUGUUCGGGAGGCUACGCCGUAAAACAACCCCAUUUCUAAGGUUGACCUCGGAUCAGGUAGGGAUACCCGCUGAACUUAAGCAUAUCAAUAAGCGGAGGAAAAGAAACCAACAGGGAUUGCUCUAGUAACGGCGAGUGAAGCAGCAAUAGCUCAAAUUUGAAAUCUGGCGUCUUCGACGUCCGAGUUGUAAUUUGUAGAGGAUGCUUCUGAGUGGCCACCGACCUAAGUUCCUUGGAACAGGACGUUAUAGAGGGUGAGAAUCCCGUAUGCGGUCGGAAAGGCGCUCUAUACGUAGCUCCUUCGACGAGUCGAGUUGUUUGGGAAU